rnacentral:rRNA from 1 species
UGGGUAACCUGCCUUAUAGUGGGGGAUAGCCUUUCGAAAGGAAGAUUAAUACCGCAUAAGAUUGUAGUAUCGCAUGAUAUAGCAAUUAAAGGAAGCAAUUCGCUAUAAGAUGGACCCGCGUCGCAUUAGCUAGUUGGUGAGGUAAUGGCUCACCAAGGCGACGAUGCGUAGCCGACCUGAGAGGGUGAUCGGCCACAUUGGGACUGAGACACGGCCCAGACUCCUACGGGAGGCAGCAUG